rnacentral:rRNA from 1 species
CCUACGGGUGGCAGCAGUGGGGAAUAUUGCGCAAUGGGCGAAAGCCUGACGCAGCGACGCCGCGUGAGGGAUGAAGGUCUUCGGAUCGUAAACCUCUGUCAGCAGGGAAGAACGGUCACUGUGCUAAUCAGCAGUGAAUUGACGGUACCUGCAAAGGAAGCACCGGCUAACUCCGUGCCAGCAGCCGCGGUAAUACGGAGGGUGCGAGCGAUAAUCGGAAUUACUGGGCGAAAAGCGCUCGUAGGCGGUAUGUCAAGUCAAGGGUGAAAUCUGCGCGCUCAACGUGGGGACUGCCUUUGAAACUGGCAAGCUGGAGAGUGUGAGAGGAUAGUGGAAUUCCAGGUGUAGGAGUGAAAUCCGUAGAUAUCUGAAGGAACAUCAGUGGCGAAGGCGACUAUCUGGCACAUAACUGACGCUGAGGAGCGAAAGCGUAGGUAGCAAACAGGAUUAGAUACCCUUGUAGUC